AUGGAAGGCGGCGUUGGGGUCACUCUAGAGCCACCCGUGGAAGCCCUCGACCGUCUCCCUCGGCCAUCUCCCGUGCACGUCUUCCUGGCCACGUUCCUCCCGGCCGUCGCGGCCGUUCUGUACCUCAUGAUGCGGCCGUGCUCUGUGUACCUCGUCAACUACUCCUGCUUCCACACCAACCCCAGCCACCGCGUCUCCCUCGACACAUUCCUCGAGCACGCCAAGCUCGUCAUCUUCAUCGAGGGGGCCUUCAUUGACGAGCGCAACGUCCGUCUCAUGACGCGGCUGCUGGAGCGGUUCGGGCUCGGGAAGGAGACGUGCGUGCCCCCGGCGCACCACUUCGUCCUGCCGUACCGGAACUUGGAGGCCUCAGUGAGGAGGUGGAGUUCAUCAUCCUUUCCGCCAUUGACGAUCUUCUUGCCAAGACGGGCAUCAGCCCCGACGCCAUUGACUUCCUCGUCGUCAACUGCAGCCUCUUCGUGCCCAUCCCAUUCUUCACCGACAUGA
rnacentral:rRNA from 1 species